CAUUUUUUAAAAAGGAAAUAAAGUAGAGGAGGGAUAAAUGGUGAUGGAUGAAGACUUGACUCGAGGUGGUAAACACACAAUACAGUGUAUUGAUGAUGUGUUGUUGAACUGUGCACCCGAAAUCUGUGUCAUUUUGUUAACCAGUGUCACCCCAACAAAUAUUGAUACAACAAAAAGGAGAAAAACAAAACAAAUGAAAAAAGAAAAUAAAUAUUUGGUAUCUUUGACUUAAAACUGUAAUAAAUCUGAGAAUAUAUAA